UGGGGAAUAUUGGACAAUGGGGGAAACCCUGAUCCAGCGAUGCCGCGUGAGUGAAGAAGGCCUUAGGGUUGUAAAGCUCUUUUAGUAGGGAAGAUGAUGACGGUACCUACAGAAAAAGCACCGGCAAACUCUGUGCCAGCAGCCGCGGUAAUACAGAGGG
rnacentral:rRNA from 1 species